rnacentral:lncRNA from 1 species
UGUACAAGAAGUAUGACACUGUGCCUGCAUCUGAUGAAGCCCUCAGACUGCUUCCACAAGUGGUGAAAGGCAAAGGGUUGGGGACAUAAGGAACAAGAAUGCACAGUAGAAUCUAAGUCUAGUUUUCUACAAGAUAAAAUAUGCUAACUGCAUUGUGUUGGCCCCUCAGCCCAUGACAAAUUAUAAAUGCUGUCCUAGUAUACCUAGAAAUGUACUUAUAACAGUACAUUUCAAAAUUGCCAAGUACAUUUCACUAACUACUGACAAUACUAUAAUGUUUUUAAAAGGUAAGACACCACAUAGAAUAGUAAUAAGUUCUGCCUUUUCGAAAUUAUGUAAAAUCUCAGAAAUAGGCUUUCCUCCAAAUAAAUGAGCCUAGAAAAGCUUCAAGUGAUUGACUUAUACUAAAAGGAGCUAAAAUCUCAUGAAAGAAAAGGGCCACAUUAAGGUAAGUGUUUUUGGUAGUUAUUAUUGUUAUUAUACAUGUAGAAAUAGACAUUCAAACAGGGAAAAGGUACAAAACAAAGAGUUAAAAUUGCCUAGUCCUACUCCGCAGACACUGUUUUAAUUCCGGUAUUUAUCCAGAAUUAUUGGAUAAUUCUAAAUUGGUUAUUUAUCUCAGAAAAAAACACAUAUUUUAGAAGCUUAUUAAGACCUUGAAUCGUGUACAAAAAGGUAUGGCAUAUUGUGUUACUUUUAGUAUUUAAAAUAGAAUGAGGCUGGGUGUGGUGGCUCAUGCAUGUAAUCCUAGCACUUUGGGAGGCUAAGGCAGGAGGAUCACCUGAGGUCAGGAGUUCAAGACCAUCCUGGCCAACAUGGUGAAACCCCAUCUCUACUAAAAAUACAUAAAUUAGCUGGGCGUGGUGGUGGGUGCCUGUAAUCCCAGCUACUCAGGAAGCUGAGGCAUGAGAAUCGCUUGAACCUGGAAGGUGGAGGUUGCAGUGAGCCGAGAUCAUACCACUGCACUCCAGCCUGGGCGACAGAGUGAGACUCCAUCUCAAAAAUACAUAAAUUAAUUAAUUAAAUAAAAUACAAAGAAAAAAUAGAACAAAAGGUAUCAUGGGCACAUAAAGGGCUUGGGAGCUUUUUAAACUCCUUUUAAUAUGGGUCAAUCACUCGAAGCUUUUCAAGGCUGAUUUAUUUGGAGGAAAGCCUAUUUCUGAGAUUUUACAUGAUUUUGAAAAGACAGAAUUUAUUACUAUUCUGUGUAGUAUCUUACCUGUUAAAAACAUCAUAGUAUCAUCAGUAGUCAGUUAAAUGUACUUGGCAGUUCUUUUGGACUGAAUAAAACCUGCCAUAAGUACAUUUCUGGUCAUUAGCAUGGCGUUUAUAAUGUUUCAUGGGCUAAGGGGUGCAGUGGUGCAAUCAUAGCUCACUGCACCCUCAAACUGCUGGGCUCAAGUCAUCCUCCUGACUCAGCCUCUGGAAUAACUGAAUUAUAGUCGUGCACCACCAUGCCUGGCUGGCACAUUAAGGUUUAUAAAGUAAUCAUGGGUCAGAGAGGGGAAUCAUUUUACCAAACACAGAAACAAAAACAACACAAGUAAAUAAACUUGGAAUAUCUCAUCUGAAAGUUUUUCUCAAAUUUAUCACUUUUAAAAGCACUUUUCUCUUCCAUUCUCCUUAUGAAUCUAUGGCCAUAUACUUAGGUCUUCCUCACCAGGGAGUUACCUCCUGCAUCCGGGCACUGAAGGUGAGAGGAGGAUACCUGGAAAUGAGAGAAACAUAGAAUUGGGCAGACACGGAGACCGCUAAGAGAUGUGUCAUAAUAUGUUAAUUAUUCCCACCUAGAAUUUAUUUGAUGCAGAGCAUCAUCCUCUAAGUUGCCCAAGAGGACCCUCUGAUCUGCAAGCGAGAGGGCCUGGUGAAAUCCCAGAGCAGUAGAUUGAAUGAGUGGAGCAAGGCUUUAAGUGCCUGUGAAUGCAGCUCUGAUUGCCAAAAAUGGCAACACCUGUGAAUAUUUCUGGUAGCUUCUUUUUCUCAAACCUGCCCCAAGUUAAUGCUCACAACAAAAGGCAGCCCAAUUUUAAUUGUUCCACACCAGACUUCUUGUCAAAUGCUUCUGAUUCUACCCUCACUCCACAAUCAAAUGCUAUCUAGCCAUUUUUCCAAAAGUAGAACCACUUUUUACAUAGAGAUAAUCAAUCAUCAGUCCCCACAUAGUACAGCCUGAAUAGUUCAGAUUCCUGCAAAUUUAUAUGAAGGAACUUGGGUGCCCUGCAUUUUCCCCAAAGUCAACUCUAUUCUCAUUCUUAGUUCUCCUUUGAACCAUCUUGAUGUUGAGUGAUCCCAACACUCUUGCCCCCUGUGACAUAGCACUCUCGUACCAAAACUGGGCUUGCUUAGAAAUUGGCCCUGGAGAAGUUAAUGACUUUGUUCUCAGCAAUGUGCUCUCUUAGCUGAAAUCUCUUCACUAUUCUGUCACCUCCAGAGGCAGGAAAAAUGACUCAGUCAGACUUUCACACCAUCCUAAUGAAGAUGGUAUUUAAAAUCAGGGGACCAGAUGAGAUCACCUGAGGCUUAAAAGUAGAAAAAAAAAAAAAAGAAUUAAGGCUUGGGCCCUGGGAAUUCUAACACAUAAAAGCUGAUCUGAGAAAGGAAACCAAUGAAGGAGCUGAAAGAGACCUGGAGACAGGGAAGCCUGAGACAAGCCAGGAGGGCAGCGUCAUGAAGAGAAUAAAGCAUUUCAAGAGGGAGGGGCCUUGUGAGCCAGGCCAGAUACUACUAAGAAUUCAAAUAAGAU